AGUUAAACUUCCAUGGCAUGCUUAAAUCAUGUUGAUCAAAACAAGAAUCAACUGGGCCUCUCAUAAUGCCCCACACCAGAGCAAACUGUGGCCCUGAACCAUUGCCUGGCCUCUGUGUCCAUAGGCUGCUGGCACUGAAGUGGGUUGCACAGAG
ensembl:snoRNA